AGGUGUCUGUCCACGGCGUCUGCGGCGGGCACCUGCUGUGGUGCCGGGGUCCUUUGCUGAGCACGCUGCUUUCUAAUGAGUCCAUGAAGCAGUGUCUUCACUCCAGGCUUUAUACACCAACAGCUUUAACACAAAAAUACGUGACCCGAUCCCCAGCGCCCAGCCCUGAUCCACAGGACAGCCAGAGGGGAGGGGGAGCGGAGCGCUGGAGGCUGGGAAGCAGCUUGAAUGUGGUUACGCGGUGGCACGCCCCAGGCUUGCUGGCCCGCCAGGCGCUGCUGGGUGACGUCCACACUCCAGGAGCGGCUGGGCAGACCCCGUCCAGAGUUCUGAGCACACACAAACAUCUGACCUCAUCCCCCGCCCGGCCCCAGCCCUGACGCAGACGGACUCUCAGGGCAUCUGGCUCCACUUUCUAGACCAGAAACUUGGGUCCAAGCCACCCCUCAGCUGCUGCACACAGAGACCCCUCAGACCCCCCUCCUGCAGCCCCUUCCCCUUCCGCAAAGGCCCGGGGGACAGUAGGGGAUGGACAGCCAGGAGAUGGCGGCUUGCUACGGGCGUGUGUUCAACUCUAAAUAAAUAACUGGAUGUUGUGGUGUCAGGCUCAUUAGGAACAUGGGGGACACAGUGACAAUAAUGGGGUCGACAUGCCCCAGGGCUUGACCUAAAUCCAUAUCUUAGCACCACCUUCCCCCGACUGUCCCUCAGGUCUCAGGUCUCCUGACUGGUCUUCCGGCGCCUGCCCUCUGCCCUGCCCUGCCUGUGUCCUGCCCUGUGGGCCUUUCCACACACUAGGUCAGACCUUCAUAUUCCAUUACUUGAAACCCUCUGGUGACCACCUCUCCUGUACAGAAUAAAAGCCAAAGCCUGCGAAGGCCAGCAAGGUCCUCCAUGAUGCGAGCCCAUCCUCCCUCCCACUCCGCCCCAGCCUUGGUCACCUUUAACAUCUUGAAAGAGCUCCUGCCUCAGGACCUUUGCACUUCCCAGUCCCUCCACCUGGACUGCUCUUCCCCGUGGAGCCACCUGUCUCAUUCCCUACCUCAGCCUCCUCAGAGGCUGCCUCCUCAGAGAUCACCUGUGGCUGUCAGCAACGCGAUCUGCUGCAUCUUUCUUCGUGGUGUGUUUUCCUGAUGCUUUCCAGCUGACGUGUGGGACUCUGAGGAGGAAACGGAUCCCAGACGUCCCAGGCCACAGCUCAGGGAGCGGCCUCCAGGAUCUCUGCAGCCUCUGUUCAGCGAGGCAGAGCCAGUCGAGCCACAAGCCUGGUGGGCCACAUCCGCAGGACAGCUGAAGUCCACCCUGUGCCCCCGCCAAGUCGGCUCCUGACCUUCCGUCUCUGCGCCGCACCACCCAAGACUGCCCAACGGCUCAGCCUGAAGCCUGGGAGCCCUGACCUUCCUCCCCUCCCCCUCCCACCUGAAGCCGCCCACAAGAGCCACACUCGGAAGCCAGCCACUCCCACCUCGGCACACUGUCCUGCUCCAAGCCCCAGCACCACCCCCGGGGACCCCUGCAUCAGCCACGGUCCCCUCCUUCUGCUCUUGUCCCAGCCACCCCUGUCCUCCUGCGGCCGGGGCGAGCCUUGGACAACAGCAGCAGGGGCUGUUUACCUGUUCCGCACUGUCAGCAGGCUGCUGGGGGCCCCAGAAUCAAGGACGACCUGGCAGGACUCCCAGGGCUGACCAAGCCCUGGCCCCCAAAGACCCUCACCAGAGAUUUGUGUGGAUUCAGUUAGCAGCAGCACCUAUUCAGAGUCCCUCAAAAAUCCACCCUGUCAUGGCUUCCUGGCCAAAGGAUAUGACAGGGACAAGGUCUCUGUGUCCCCUGUUCCUCUCCCUCACAGCUGGGAACCCGGAGAACUCUCUUCCUGUCCUGCCCCAGGCCUGUCCUCCCGACCUGGUGAGGGGGCCGCUCUGUGCCCUGGGGCUGGAAGGAAGCCCAGGAUUGUCUCAGGCAAGAAGUCUCCAGCCCGGAGACCGUCAGGGCAGCCGUGGGAGGAGCAGAAAAUAUCAGAGGAUGGAUUUUUUCCAGACUCCACCUCUGCGUGCGGCUGCCACAGGGAGAGAGGACAUGUGUUCAGCUCUGGGGGGCACAAGUGGCUGACCUGCACUGAACCACAGAGGUUCGAAGGCCCACCUCCUCCCCCUCCAUCACUGGAAAAGGCCUGGCUGCCUUCAAAGGCCUGUUCAACCUUGGGGGGGGGGAUCCCGGCCUCCUGGGAAGGCCAGGCAGCAGGUACUGAUCAAGUGGGGGCUGCCAGAGGCCACCGCGACCCUGAGACCUCAGUCACUCCCUGGAAGUCAUCUCCAGGGACAUUCAAGUGCAAAGAUGCAUGGAUAAAGACCCCCACAGGAGUAUUUAUACAGCGAAAAAUAAACUUUCAAAUUGGAACGA